GUCAAGAAUAUUAUUGUUUUACAUUUACGUCAAUUAGACUUGAAUUGAAUAUGAAUGUUUAUACGUACGACUUAUCUUGGUAUGUUUGUGCCGCCAUACUCUCGGAAACUAAACCGGUCUGAACGUUUGUAAUCCACGGUCUUUUUACCACAUUUACGCUGACAAACUGUGUAUGACUCCACACAACGGUGAACGAGCACCACGUGUAAUUGUGUGCACAUGUCACAUUGAUGGUUAACUGUCUGUUAAAAUAAACUUUCAAACGCU